ACACGUAAGGGGCAAGCGUUGUUCGGAAUUAUUGGGCGUAAAGGGCAUGUAGGCGGUUCGGUAAGCCUGGUGUGAAAGGCUGCAGCUUAACUGUAGCAUUGCAUUGGGUACUGCCGGACUUGAAUCACGGAGGGGAAACUAGAAUUCCAGGUGUAGGGGUGGAAUCUGUAGAUAUCUGGAAGAAUACCGGUGGCGAAGGCGGGUUUCUGGCCGAUGAUUGACGCUGAGGUGCGAAAGUGCGGGGAGCAAACAGGAUUAGAUACCCUGGUAGUCCGCACCGUAAACGAUGUACACUAGGUGUAGGGGCAUGAGUCUCUGUGCCAAAGCUAACGUGAUAAGUGUACCGCCUGGGAAGUAUGCCCGCAAGGGUGAA
rnacentral:rRNA from 1 species